ACCAAGGUAUCAAUAAUGUUAGCAGAAAGCAGUGGUGUCAAAAAUUGAAUAUAGCAGUCGAAGUCACAACUGGGAAAACUGGUAUUGGUAACAUAGAGCGGUUUCAUAAAACGAUGAAUGAAAAACUGCGAAUUAUUUGUAGCUCUGGGGCGAAAGUCCGUAUAACAUGUUAUACAGGGGUGAAUCUGAUAGUUGUCGGAACCAGAAUUGAAACCGAUCACAAAAAGCAGGAGGUGUCAUGAAUUGAGAUAUUAUUGGUUUGAUAUUCGAAACAGAAUUUGUAUCGGUUUUGGGUGUCACGGAAUUCAAUUUUAUCGGUUUUGCUGUCAGAAACAAAUCAAGAAGAUAGUCGCACACAUAUUUGAAUUGGGAAAACAUUAGAACAAAACACGAAAUGUCUUAACUAUUGAGUUUUGGAAAAAAUGCGGAUAUUUAAGAGGGGAGCAGUUUUUAGAGGCUUAAAAAAGUCUUUUUUUUAGCUUUUUUUGGGAGGGAAAGAAAUAAAUGAUUAA